rnacentral:lncRNA from 1 species
CCCGAAUACAAUUUCACUCUCACCUCAAACCCUACCACUAUUUUCCCCUCACAGCUACCUCGCCCGAAAUGCAAAAAACCUCUCACGAAUCAUCUCAUGCGAGGAGAUCUAAGGCUACAAGAUUGAAGCCCACCGUACGCAGCAGAAUCGACCGUCGCUGAGUCCUUCUUCUCCGGCAAAAUCUCAGCUGUAGGGGUUCCAGCCUCGACUUGAUUUCGACAAAUUUCAAUUUCGCCUCUCCACUUGCCGAUCAUUUGCAGGACCCUAAAGGCGUGUUUCUUAUACUUUAUGUGAUUGAAGCAAUUAUAAAAAUAUUAAUAUUUUUUGCAUAUCGUAGCUUGAUGCGUUGAUUUGGCUCGUUGAAUCCGAAGGGUGAGAGGGAAAGAGCUCUUAAAAAGCAGCUGGAGAAAAACUACAACAAAAUAAAGUAAGUUGUUCAUGACUUUGUACCAAGAUUGUUCCUUUCGCAGUUUCCAUGCCUCAAGUAAGGGAUGGAGGGGUGGCGUGGGGAGCGGGAAGUGGGAGAAAG